AGAGUUUGAUUAUGGCUCAGGAUGAACGCUGGCGGCGUGCUUAACACAUGCAAGUCGAACGGAGUUUUAAACGGAAGUUUUCGGAUGGAAGUUUAGAAACUUAGUGGCGGACGGGUGAGUAACGCGUGGGUAACCUGCCUCAUACAGGGGGAUAACAGUUAGAAAUGACUGCUAACACCGCAUAAUAUAGCGAAACCGCAUGAUUUUGCUAUCAAAUAUUUAUAGGUAUGAGAUGGGCCCGCGUCUGAUUAGCUAGUUGGUGGGGUAAAAGCCUACCAAGGCGACGAUCAGUAGCCGGCUUGAGAGAGUGACCGGCCACAUUGGGACUGAGACACGGCCCAAACUCCUACGGGAGGCAGCAGUGGGGAAUAUUGGACAAUGGGGGAAACCCUGAUCCAGCGACGCCCGCGUGAGUGAAGAAGUAUUUCGGUAUGUAGAGCUCUAUCAGCAGGGAAGAUAAUGACAGUACCUGACUAAGAAGCCCCGGCUAACUACGUGCCAGCCGCAGC
rnacentral:rRNA from 1 species